CCACCUGUGGCUCAGUUGGUAGAGCAUGGUGUUUGCAACGCCAACAUGGUGUGUGCAACGCCAGGGUCGUGGGUUCGAUUCCCACGGGGGA
rfam:Salmo salar isolate Sally breed double haploid chromosome ssa05, whole genome shotgun sequence.